UACGAAGGGGGCUAGCGUUGUUCGGAAUUACUGGGCGUAAAGCGCACGUAGGCGGACGUUUAAGUCAGGGGUGAAAUCCCAGAGCUCAACUCUGGAACUGCCUUUGAUACUGGAUGUCUUGAGUAUGGAAGAGGUAAGUGGAAUUGCGAGUGUAGAGGUGAAAUUCGUAGAUAUUCGCAGGAACACCAGUGGCGAAGGCGGCUUACUGGUCCAUUACUGACGCUGAGGUGCGAAAGCGUGGGGAG
rnacentral:rRNA from 1 species